rnacentral:rRNA from 1 species
UACAGAGGGUGCGAGCGUUGUUCGGAAUUACUGGGCGUAAAGCGCGCGCAGGCGGCCUUUUAAGUCUGACGGUGAAAUGCCGGGGCUCAACCCCGUGCCCGCCGCGGAUACUGGGAGGCUGGAGACAUGUAGAGGCAAGCGGAAUUCCGGGUGUAGCGGUGGAAUGCGUAGAUAUCAGGAGGAACACCGGUGGCGAAGGCGGGUCUCUGGGCCGAUACUGACGCUGAGGAGCGAAAGCGUGGGGAGCGAACAGG